rnacentral:rRNA from 1 species
AGUGAACGCUGGCGGUAGGCCUAACACAUGCAAGUCGAACGGCAGCACAGUAAGAGCUUGCUCUUACGGGUGGCGAGUGGCGGACGGGUGAGGAAUACAUCGGAAUCUACUUUUUCGUGGGGGAUAACGUAGGGAAACUUACGCUAAUACCGCAUACGACCUACGGGUGAAAGCAGGGGAUCUUCGGACCUUGCGCGAUUGAAUGAGCCGAUGUCGGAUUAGCUAGUUGGCGGGGUAAAGGCCCAGCAAGGCGACGAUCCGUAGCUGGUCUGAGUGGAUGGUAAGCCACACUGGAACUGAGACACGGUCCAGACUCCUACGGGAGGCAGCAGUGGGGAAUAUUGGACAAUGGGCGCAAGCCUGAUCCAGCCAUACCGAGUGGGUGAAGAAGGCCUUCGGGUUGUAAAGCCCUUUUGUUGGGAAAGAAAAGCAGCAGGUUAAUACCCCGCUGUUCUGACGGUACCCAAAGAAUAAGCACCGGCUAACUUCGUG